rnacentral:piRNA from 1 species
UGGAAAGGCACCGAUGGCUCAUGGUCAC